rnacentral:lncRNA from 1 species
AUUGGUAAUGACGCUAUUGUAUGGUAAGGAGACUCUGGAGUAUGAAGACAUAGUCUCGGUGCUGCGCUCCAAUGAACAGCGAAAAAAGAUGACCAAGGAUGGAGCUCCCCAGAAGGGCUUGGCCAUGGGGGAGAGGUCAGGAAGAGAAAAAGAAAGAGGCAAGUCAAAGGGAUGAUCAAAGUCUUGAAAGAGCAGUAGCAAGAAAGAGGCUCGGUGCUAUAAGUGUAAUG